GUAAACGUAACUUAAAAAAUAUUUUUUUUUUUAAAACUCGUGACAUAACGUUGUAUUUAUGUUUGUUACCAAUAGUCGAAAAAAAAACCCCACUAAAUAUGAUAUGUAAAGAAGGAUAGAUAGUAAUCCGCUUAAUAAAAAUAGACAAAUAUUGUAAUAAUUGCAGUACAUUUCAUUCUAAAAGCUGUGACUAUUCUUGUGACAUGAAAUGUAAAACAUAAAGCGAUUAUUCUUCCAACUGGUAACACUUUCAGUAAACAUCCUCUUGUAAAUAAAGACAAAAUGGGAAAUGGAUAAGUUAACAGACUAAAGUAAACUCACGUGGGUCUUCGUAGUGCCGUGUACAUAGCGUGUGGUAAGGAAGAAAGAAAGAACUCUCUAACCAUUGUCCAAUCGAAACAAAUAGUUAUAGAAGGCCUGAACACUGACCAGGUUGGGAAGUUUAGACCAAUCGUUCGUUUCUAGUUAAGCUGAAUUCUUUAGAAUAUCUAACGCUAACAGACAAAUUUGCUCAUACAUAAGGUGUUUUAUGUUGUAUUUUACGUAAGAUAGAAUGUCUAGGCAUUCUAUAGAAUGUGGGAUGUUGCACUUUGUCGGUAAUAUUUAAACAGAGAGAGAGCAAGAGAGAGGGAGAGAGGGAGAUACAUUCUUACUCUUUUGUUAAUAUUGGUUGUUCUUCUUCAUCUUACUAGUGAUCUAACUUUAAAGUGAGAAUUUUAUCUAUAAAAUAACAAAGUCCCCGAAAUAUUUGAAUAGUCACUUGAAACAUAC